rnacentral:rRNA from 1 species
UGGGAGGGCAAGUCUGGUGCCAGCAGCCGCGGUAAUUCCAGCUCUCAAAGUGCAUAGAAUUAUUGCUGCGGUUAAAAAGCUCGUAGUUGGAUCUGUGCCAUAGGACGUGGUCCACCUUCGGGUGCGUACUACGCUCCUAGGCUUUUUGCUGGUUUUCCCGUCGUAGCCUUCACUGGUUGCGGCGGGUGGCUGGCGAGUUUACUUUGAGAAAAUCAAAGUGCUCAAUACAGGCGUAUCGCUUGAAUGAUUGUGCAUGGAAUAAUAGAAAAGGAUUUCGGUCCUCUUUUAUUGGUUUUGUGGACUGAGAUAAUGGUUAACAGGGACAAACGGGGGCAUUCGUAUCUCUGCGUGAGAGGUGAAAUUCUUGGACCGUAGAGAGACGCCCUACUGCGAAAGCAUUUGCCAA